AGUGAACGCUGGCGGUAGGCCUAACACAUGCAAGUCGAACGGCAGCACAGUAAGAGCUUGCUCUUACGGGUGGCGAGUGGCGGACGGGUGGGGAAUACAUCGGAAUCUACUUUUUCGUGGGGGAUAACGUAGGGAAACUUACGCUAAUACCGCAUACGACCUACGGGUGAAAGCAGGGGAUCUUCGGACCUUGCGCGAUUGAAUGAGCCGAUGUCGGAUUAGCUAGUUGGCGGGGUAAAGGCCCACCAAGGCGACGAUCCGUAGCUGGUCUGAGAGGAUGGUCAGCCACACUGGAACUGAGACACGGUCCAGACUCCUACGGGAGGCAGCAGUGGGGAAUAUUGGACAAUGGGCGCAAGCCUGAUCCAGCCAUACCGCGUGGGUGAAGAAGGCCUUCGGGUUGUAAAGCCCUUUUGUUGGGAAAGAAAAGCAGCAGGUUAAUACCCCGCUGUUCUGACGGUACCCAAAGAAUAAGCACCGGCUAACUUCGUG
rnacentral:rRNA from 1 species